rnacentral:lncRNA from 1 species
AAGGUCUCUGUCCAAAGCUCCCAUGCUAUCAGGACUUCUGGGCCUCCUGAAGCAGCUCUUGGACUCUUUUUUCCCCUUGUCCACCCAGUACAAGGGGAAACCGUCGAGAAGAGAAGGGUCUUUGUCGUUUGCACGGACCUGGAUGAACUUCCCCUUCCAAUCCUUGUAUGAUUGCUGGAAGAUGGUGAAGAUGGAUCUCCCAGCAAUGGCGUUCAGACUGACCCAAAGGCGAUCGCCUGGGUGUUUGGCCUCAAACAGAAAUAAAAAUACGUCCACUGACGCAGGCAACCCCAGGUGGGCGCACGUUACCUCAAAGGCUCGGACGAACGCCCAGCUGUUGGGGUGAAGCUGGGCGGCG